rnacentral:rRNA from 1 species
CCAAUAGCGUAUAUUAAAGUUGUUGCAGUUAAAAAGCUCGUAGUUGAAUUUCGGGAUUGACGUGAUGGUCAUGCCUUAAGGGGUAUGAACUGUUGCAGUUGAUUUCUCACCUUCUGGAGAAACUUGAUGUCCUUUAUUGGGUGUCUUGCGGAUCCAGGACCUUUACCUUGAAAAAAUUAGAGUGUUUAAAGCAGGCAUUUUUGCUCGAAUACAUUAGCAUGGAAUAAUAGAAUAGGACGGCAUGGUUCUAUUUUGUUGGUUUCUAGGAUCACCGUAAUGAUUAAUAGGGAUAGUUGGGGGCAUUAGUAUUCAAUUGUCAGAGGUGAAAUUCUUGGAUUUAUUGAAGACUAGCUACUGCGAAAGCAUUUGCCAAGGAUGUUUUCAUUAAUCAAGAACGAAAGUUAGGGGAUCGAAGACGAUCAGAUACCGUCGUAGUCUUAACCAUAAACUAUGCCGACUAGGAAUCAGACGAUGUUAAUUUUUUAAUGACUCGUUUGGCACCUUACG